rnacentral:rRNA from 1 species
GACGAACGCUGGCGGCGUGCUUAACACAUGCCAGUCGAACGGAAAGGCCCUGCUUUUGUGGUGUGCUCGAGUGGCGAACGGGUGAGUAACACGUGAGUAACCUGCCCUUGACUUUGGGAUAACUUCAGUAAACUGGGGCUAAUACCGGAUAUGAGCUCCUGCUGCAUGGUGGGGGUUGGAAAGUUUCGGCGGUUGGGGAUGGACUCGCGGCUUAUCAGCUUGUUGGUGGGGUUGUGGCUUACCAAGGCUUUGACGGGUAGCCGGCCGGAGAGGGUGGCCGGCGACAUUGGGAAUGAGAUACGGCCCAGACGCCUACGGGAGGCAGCAGUGGGGAAUAUUGCACAAUGGGCGGAAGCCUGAUGCAGCAACGCCGCGUGCGGGAUGACGGCCUUCGGGUUGUAAACCGCUUGCGCCUGUGACGAAGCGUGAGUGACGGUAAUGGGUAAAGAAGCACCGGCUAACUACGUG